CACUUUUAAGAAAUUCAUCAAAUAUUUUAUUGUCACACCCGGAUUUAAGGAGCAAACCCAGGGUGCGUCUCAUAUGUGCGCCAAAGAAGAAGAAUACAUAUGAUGACCAAGUGUAUAGAGAUAAAUGUCAUAAACUUUAUUACAUAACGAGAAUGUCUUACAAAAUAACUGAUAAUAAAUAAAGCAAACUAAUAUUAUUUCCUUGACGCCAUCAAGUCGAUUAAGAGAUGACUCCUAGACCUCGUCGAACUCUUCGUAGUAAUCUUCCUCUAGGGCCACCUGCUCUUCACCUGUGGAAGGGGAGUUUUAUCGCAAGAGUGAGCUCACAAAAUUUCAUCGCUCAACAAGUGUGGGGAAUAAUAUGCAUUAGCUCAGUUACGGUGGGGGCUCAUGUAUAGUGUCAGACUGAUCGACAAAUAAUGGUUAAGGCAAAUCAUUGCUUUUAAUAAGUUGGUCAAAUUUUAUUAGUAGUUACUAAGUAUAAGUAAAUACCAAUCUAGAUAAAUGAGAGAUCAUAUCUAAUAAUAAAACCCACAAUGCGAUGCAUAUGACCAAUUAAGUUUAAUUCCAUAAGUUACUCAUGUGAGGGUCUGUGUCGCUCAUGACCGUGAGCACGGCUGAUAUACCAAUUUUACACUCUACAGAGGUUGCACAUCUUUACCCACAAGCCGUGAUACCCAUCUGCCACGGGGUUGUACGGACCCCAUAAACCUCUACUAAGGAGGAGAGGCAGGGUAGCACUAUGAGGUCUUUAUAAAGUUCCACUAGCUUCAGAAAACCCGCUACGGUUUCUGAGGAGAGCGAUAUACGAAUCCCCCGUCUGAAAAGCCAUCGCUGCAUGAUCAACUCGAGAACCUCCCUAUACCGACAAUUCCUCUACCACCCUUGUCCCUUUCGGGUAAGGUAGUCCUCCAGUAGCUUUCCUAAUUAGUCAGCCAAGUGCAUCUCAUACCACCCUUGUGGUAGCACUAUUUUUCCAGGUGGUUCUCCACGUUCCAAUUAGCAUAAUAAUCUUAUCAUGAACAGUAAAUAACGCAUUGACAAUAAAUAGCAUAAUCAUGAAUAAUGUGUAUCUUAACACCCAAAAACAUAUAAAGCAAUAGCAUAUACUACGCAAAAGUUUAGUGGUAAACAAGGUAUAAAGAUGACCAAACUAGGGUGACCUAUUGGGUCCCAUCAAAAUUAACCUAAGCAGAUCAUAAUGAUUAAUACGAACACUAUUGGGUAAAGAAGAGUGAUCAAGGGCACAACUUGCCUUCAACGAACUUCUGCUCAGAGUUUUCCCCCUGUUGAGUUCCGGGUUCCUCAAUUACUUGCACGUCUACUCACAAUAAAACAAACAAACAUUGUAUAGGUAAAAUUAACAUCACACCAAACAUGAGAACAAACUGCAUAAUAAUGUUCUACAUAUUGCUACGAGAUUGUUGGUUCAAGAACCACUAAAAUCGGAGUUACAGUUAAAGAGUUAUGAUUUUCUGAAGGUUUAGGUGUCAGACAUAAAACAAAUUAAGUGCGUGAUUGUAACCACAUGUUUCAUAAUAAAAUAAGGCUAAUAGAUGGUAAACAAUAUUAACAUGAGUUUAAUGCAACUGGAAUGGAUCAAAAAGGAGUUAAAACGCCAAAGAUAUGAAUUAAUUAAGUUUAAAGUUGUUUUUAUACUUCCCAAGUCAAUUUUAGAAUUUAAUUCAUUCCUUCUUGGGCUGCGGGCAUAAUUUUCUAGGCGUACAAGGUUUAUUCCACAAAUACUUGGGCCUGCCGAUAAGGAUUCCAGGCUAUGGGGUGGACUGCGGGUUGAUUUCAUAGUUCCCAGGGGUUCUUUAACAAAAAGACAUAUUGAAAGGGUAUCUGCGCAUACCAGCCAUUGGAUGCCGAUCUAUCGGUUAGGAUUAGAUCACAUAUUUACGAAUUGGUAUGCAAAUCUGACCGUUGAGGGGUAGAUCGACGGACAAGAUUUCAUUACCUGAGAUCUAAUCGUGUUCCCCGGAUCCCGAUCGAACAACCCAUCUCGGUUUCAGCUGAGUUGAUACUCCCGAACUGAUCUCAGUUGCACACAGCCAAUCAGACGACCAGAAGACCAUCUCCCCAAUCCCGCCACGCUUCAUGGCGACGACGCGCUAACAGUGGCGGCGGAACCCACCGGAGUCACCCCGUUGACACCCGGUAUCCCCCAAACCAUUUCCCGCUACGGUUACGUAGUGAAGGAGUAAACACAGGUAGGGUACGAGGUUGCUUACCCACGAUCGUGAUGCGACGUGCUCCGUCCACGAGCAAAAAGGCUCGGUGGUGCUCUGCAAUCUCCGGCGAACAAUUCAUUGGCCCCUGGUGACGCUCACACCCGAGUGUGUGCCUGCGUUCGAUCCUCAAUCGUUGUUGAAUGACCCUAACUCCUCCUUGUCCACCGAACAACUGUGGAAUAUGGGCGCGAGUGCAGCGACCCCGUCAAACUUCUAAUGUUGUCACGGCAUGGUUGCGGCGCGACCUCGCCCCCUACUACGUUCUAGGGAUUCGGAAGUGG
rnacentral:lncRNA from 1 species